CUCCACCAAUAGUUUCUACUCUAGCUCUUGUAAGUUCUCCACCAACAGCUUCUACCUCAUUUCCAGUCUCCACCAUCUCCAGCUCCCAAGGUGGCAACACCACCAGCUCCGACUUUAGCAGUCCUGAUUGAGACCCUAGCUAACGCUUCGGCUCAUCGCAAGAAAAAUAACCAAGAAGCACACUUCACCUUCUCCUGCUCCGAUUUCGAAGCUGAUGAGCCCACCCGCACCUCCAACUAAAGCCCCCGAAACUAGCACUGAUUCCAUCUUCCCAAGUCCUACAUCACUUAAUGAUGAGGUAUAUUUCUAAAUUCUAAUUCCUCCCCUAAUUUUAGUUUUGGCCGUGAUUUAGCCAAGUGGGUGGGGUAGGAUGGGGUGGUGUGAGAAAGAUAACCUUGUGUUUGAUUUUUUGUUUUUAUUUAACUACUCUUUCCUUAUUAUAAUUAAUUGUAUUUUUAGUGAAAGUUGCAAAGUUAUAAUUUUGACCUUAUUACAUUUGAUCAAAUUUUACUAUUGUGGUCAACUAACUGUCAAAUGAACGGUUUCCAUCCAUAUGGAUCUCGGAUGCAUAUUUUUGAAAUGUUUGAUAUUGUAGGUGACAUCAAAAUGAAGGUGAGGAUAAAGUCUGAAAAAACGUGAAAGACUGUAAUUGUGACUGAUGCUCACUCGAAGGCAACUUUCCUUAUUCGAUUAGAACUCUUUUGGAAACUAAUUUGGACGUGAUUUUCAACCAAUUUUCUACCCCACAAAUACCUAACAACGAAAUACAUAUUAGAUAGCUCUUUUACAUAUUCAUACACAUAAUAUAUCCAAAUUCCAUCAAUUCCUAUACCAAAUGAGAGGCAAAUUCAUAAUAUUGUGAGAUACAAUCAAUGGAAAGUACAAGAACUAAAUCAAUUGAAUAAUUCAUCUGAUUUUUGGGCAAAGAAUUGAAGAAAUAAUUGAAGAUUCGUCAAGAUUUCCUUGAAGAGAUUAAAGAACAAUAUUCUUCUUCUUUAUUCAUCAAAUUCAUAUUUCGGGUGAGGUUCUAUAGAAUUAAGAUGUUUUCUUGUACUUUUCCUAUACUAAACUGAAUUUAUCAUUGUUAUGAUGUAGAUGAGCCAUUGUUAUGACG
rnacentral:lncRNA from 1 species